UACGGGGGGCAAGCGUUGUUCGGAAUUACUGGGCGUAAAGGGCUCGUAGGCGGCCAACUAAGUCGGAUGUGAAAUCCCCAGGCUCAACUUGGGAACUGCAUCCGAUACUGGAUGGCUUGAAUUCGGGAGAGGGAUGCAGAAUUCCAGGUGUAGCGGUGAAAUGCGUAGAUAUCUGGAGGAAUACCGGUGGCGAAGGCGGCAUCCUGGACCGACAUUGACGCUGAGGAGCGAAAGCUAGGGGAGCAAACGGG
rnacentral:rRNA from 1 species